UACGAAGGGGGCUAGCGUUGCUCGGAAUUACUGGGCGUAAAGGGCGCGUAGGCGGAUCGUUAAGUCAGGGGUGAAAUCCCGGGGCUCAACCUCGGAAUUGCCCUUGAUACUGGCGAUCUUGAGUAUGAGAGAGGUAUGUGGAACUCCGAGUGUAGAGGUGAAAUUCGUAGAUAUUCGGAAGAACACCAGUGGCGAAGGCGACAUACUGGCUCAUUACUGACGCUGAGGCGCGAAAGCGUGGGGAGCAAAC
rnacentral:rRNA from 2 species